rnacentral:rRNA from 1 species
UACGUAGGUGGCAAGCGUUGUCCGGAAUUAUUGGGCGUAAAGCGCGCGCAGGUGGUUUCUUAAGUCUGAUGUGAAAGCCCACGGCUCAACCGUGGAGGGUCAUUGGAAACUGGGAAACUUGAGUGCAGAAGAGGAUAGUGGAAUUCCAAGUGUAGCGGUGAAAUGCGUAGAGAUUUGGAGGAACACCAGUGGCGAAGGCGACUAUCUGGUCUGUAACUGACACUGAGGCGCGAAAGCGUGGGGAGCGAACAGG